UACAGAGGUCUCAAGCGUUGUUCGGAUUCAUUGGGCGUAAAGGGUGCGUAGGUGGCGGGGUAAGUCAGGUGUGAAAUCUCGAGGCUCAACCUCGAAACUGCACUUGAUACUGCCUUGCUCGAGUACUGGAGAGGAGAUUGGAAUUUACGGUGUAGCAGUGAAAUGCGUAGAUAUCGUAAGGAAGACCAGUGGCGAAGGCGAAUCUCUGGGCCGAUACUGACGCUGAGGAGCGAAAGCUAGGGGAGCAAACAGG
rnacentral:rRNA from 1 species